rnacentral:rRNA from 1 species
AACGAACGCUGGCGGCGUGCCUAAUACAUGCAAGUCGAGCGGAUGGUAGGAAGCUUGCUUCCUAAAGUCAGCGGAGGACGGGUGAGUAACACGUGGGCAACCUGCCCCUAAGAUCGGGAUAACUUCGGGAAACCGGAGCUAAUACCGGAUAUGAUUAUGUCUCACUUGAGACACUAUGGAAAGACGGUUUCGGCUGUCACUUAGGUAUGGGCCCGCGGCGCAUUAGCUAGUUGGUGAGGUAACGGCUCACCAAGGCGACGUUGCGUAGCCGACCUGAGAGGGUGAUCGGCCACACUGGGACUGAAACACGGCCCAGACUCCUACGGGAGGCAGCAGUAGGGAAUCUUCCGCAAUGGACGAAAGUCUGACGGAGCAACGCCGCGUGAGUGAAGAAGGUUUUCGGAUCGUAAAACUCUGUUGUUAGGGAAGAACAAGUACCAUAGUAACUGAUGGUACCUUGACGGUACCUAACCAGAAAGCCACGGCUAACUACGUGCCAGCCGCCGCAGUAA